CACUGCGCCACGAUGGGAACUCCUGCAGUGUAGACCUUUUAUGGCAGUGAAAUUUCUUUGAAAUAUCUUGUUUUACAUUGAAAAUUCAUAUGGAGGAGUUCCCUUGUGGCUUAGCAGGUUAAGGAUCUGGUGUUGUCACUGCUGUGGUGCAGGUUCCAUCCCUGGCCAGGGAACUUCUGCAUGCCAUGGGUGUGGCCAAAAAAAGGGAAAGAAACUGGCAUUUUGCAUCCUGUUUCAUAAUCAUUGGCUUUUUUUUUUUUUUUACUUUUUAGGGCCCCACCCACCUCUGGCUUUUGGACUUCUCCAGACACCCCAGCUUCCACGUCAGGGGACCCGGAUGGUGGAGGAAGCACCCAGCUAAAGUCUUUGAGCCUGUGACAGAAAAUAUCUGACUCCCUGCUGCGACCUCCACCACAGCUGUGGCUGGUGCCCCUUCCAGGGAGAAUGAGCACACGCCACCAAGGUUAAGGUGAUCAGGAGCAAGACCCUGGACUUGGAUUUGGAGACAGAAGUGAAUGAAGCGGUCCUUUGCAGCCACUGGGCCUAGAAACUCCUGCCGCUGCCUGGCAGUUACGUUCACAGGAACCCCAGAGGGCUGGCUAGACCGUCCCCGACCCCCCUGCUGGCACCUGAAGACACCUGGGGGCGACUGGAAAACCAGAGAUUCCUCGGGAGCAGCCUGUUCCUGGGACUCUGUCUCAGCUUAGAAGGACCUCAGGCAUCUGGCAGAAGCAAAGACACAUCCCCUCUGUGGGAAUAUACCACUGGACCAGACCUGAAAGAAUCUUGAGAGACAAAGUUUCAAAACUAAGAGGAUAUAAGGUAAAACAAGAAUAAUACAAAAGAAAGUCACAUAAGAGGACACAAAAGAAACAGAGCCCCAGGGAUGAGUCAGCAGAAAGAGCCAACGGUGAGCCAGUUUAUGUUUAGACCUUGGAAUUAUUGGAAACAUAUGAAAUAAAUAUAUCUAAUAUGUUUAAAUAAGCCAAAGAGAGUUUGAAAAUAUGUAUAGGAAAAAAAAUUAUCAAGGGGAUUAGAGAGACUUCCAAUGGGGAGUGCUCACAGCUGCUAUUGCCACUGCAGGCACAACAGGGAGGCUGAGACACCAGCUGGUCCACUGCGGCGUGGUUGCUGGGGCUGGCGGUGUCUCAGCACGUGGGUGCAGACACCACCAAGGUAGGUGACUUCCACUCAGAGGAGCGGAGUAACUGGGUUGAGUCACCUCAGCUUCCCAACAGAAGAUCAGGAGAUUGAGUCAUUGGCUACUUUAGUGGAAUUCUACAAAAUGCACCAUUUAGGCACUAGAGCAUUGAUAGACCCAGUUCCCAAGGCCAGGCAGGGAUGUGGAGUGAUUCUCAGGCUGGAAGAGCCUGAGGAUGGGUGGCCCACCCCUCUUUGACUUUAAGAAAGGAGACCUCCUGGGAGUUCCCGUCGUGGCACAGUGGAAACGAAUCCGACUAGGAACCAUGA